GUCCACCAUGAUGGCGCGGUGCUCGGUCCCCGCGAAGAGCGGCGCACACUUGGUGAUGAGCGGCAGCACCGCCAGGCACAGAAAAACUGGAUCAUUUAUCCACGGAGUUUCCCAUACUUUGGUCUGGGCUGGUCACGUCCACUCACUGUCUCCAAUGCCUCACCUGCCAGACCCUCGUCAACCCUCGCCAGUAAGGCUUUCACCCCACCGCCUCACUGAAAGUGCUCAUCGAGGUCACCAGUGACCUCCAUUUGGCCACACCAGUGGUCAGUUCUCAGUCUUCAUCUUACUCGGCUUUGUCCCCUACUAUUCUCUAACGAUAUAACUAUUAAAUAUCUAUAUAACUAUUA